rnacentral:rRNA from 1 species
UACAGAGGGUGCAAGCGUUAAUCGGAAUUACUGGGCGUAAAGCGCGCGUAGGCGGCUGUCUAAGUCGGGUGUGAAAGCCCCGGGCUCAACCUGGGAACUGCAUUCGAUACUGGACGGCUAGAGUAUGAGAGAGGGAGGUAGAAUUCCACGUGUAGCGGUGAAAUGCGUAGAGAUCCCCAAGAACACCAAUGGCGAAGGCAGCUCUCUGGGACGGUACUGACGCUGAGACGCGAAAGCGUGGGGAGCGAACAGG